AUUGAACGCUGGCGGCAGGCCUAACACAUGCAAGUCGAGCGGAUGAAGGGAGCUUGCUCCUGGAUUCAGCGGCGGACGGGUGAGUAAUGCCUAGGAAUCUGCCUUGUAGUGGGGGAUAACGUCCUGAAACGGGCGCUAAUACCGCAUACGUCCUGAGGGAGAAAGUGGGGGAUCUUCGGACCUCACGCUAUCAGAUGAGCCUAGGUCGGAUUAGCUAGUUGGUGGGGUAAAGGCCUACCAAGGCGACGAUCCGUAACUGGUCUGAGAGGAUGAUCAGUCACACUGGAAGUGAGACACGGUCCAGACUCCUACGGGAGGCAGCAGUGGGGAAUAUUAGACGAUGGGCGAAAGCCUGAUACAGGCAUGCCGCGUGUGUGCAGAAGGUCUUCGGAUUGUAAAGCGCUGUAGGUUGGGAGGAAGGGCAGUAAGUUAAUACCUUGCUGUUUUGACGGUACCGAGAGAAUAAGCACCGGCUAACUUCGUG
rnacentral:rRNA from 1 species